GCCGGGUACAGUGGCUUGUGCCUGUAGUCCCAACUACUCAGGAGGCUGAGGCUGGAGGAUCGCUUGAGUCCAGGAGUUCUGGGCUGUAGUGCGCUAUGCUGACCGGGUGUCCGCACUAAGCUCGGCAACAAUAUGGUGACCUCCCGGGAGUGGGGGACCACCAGGUUGCCUACGGAGUGGUGAACCGGCCCAGGUCGGAAACGGAGCAGGUCAAAAUUCCCGUGCUGAUCAGUAGUGGGAUUGCGCCUGUGAACAGCCACUGCACUCCAGCCCGGGCAACAUAGUGAGACCCCGUCUCU
rnacentral:SRP_RNA from 1 species